rnacentral:rRNA from 1 species
GCCAAUCAAACUCGGAUAUAGCUGGUUCUCCGCGAAAUCUAUUUAGGUAGAGCGUUGUGUGAUUGUAACUGAAGGUAGAGCACUGGAUGAGUCGUGGGGGCUGGAAAGCUUACNGCUCUCAACCAAACUCCGAAUGUCAGUUAUUNCAGCACAGCAGACAGACUGUGGGUGCUAACAUCCAUGGUCAAAAGGGAAACAACCCAGAUCACAAUCUAAGGUCCCUAAGUUAUGGCUAAGUGUGUAAGGAAGUAGAAAAACUAAGACAGCUAGGAGGUGGGCCUACCGGCAGCCAUCCUUUAAAGAAAGCGUUAUAGCUCACUAGUCUAAAUUAUGUUCUUUUGCGCCGACAAUGUAACGGGGCUAAAGCCAUACACCGAAGAUGUGAACUUGCAUUAAUAUUUUUGCAAGUGGUAGCGGAGCGUUCCGUAAGCCCGUGAAGGCAAGUUGUGAAUCUUGCUGGAGGUAUCGGAAGUGAGAAUGCUGACAUNAGUAGCGAUAAAGAGUGUGAGAAACACUCUCGCCGAAAGUCCAAGGUUUCCUGCGUAAAGCUAAUCUGCGCAGGGUUAGUCGGCCCCUAAGGCGAGGCUGAAAGGCGUAGUCGAUGGGAAUCAGGUUAAUAUUCCUGAACCUGGAGGUGUGUGACGGAGCUUUNAAUNGAUCNGUGCUUANUUGGAUUGCANUGGUCUUNAAAAGCUUCCAGGAAAUAGCCCCUCNAUAAAGACCGUACCCUAAACCGACACAGGUGGACAGGUAUAACAAUACUAAGGCGCUUGAGAGAACGAUGCUGAAGGAACUAGGCAAAUUNCAUCUGUAACUUNGGGAGAAAGAUGACCUANUNUUGGGCAACCAGNGNUAGGUGGCACAUAAUUGNGGGAAGCGACUGUUUAUUAAAAACACAGGGCUCUGCAAAGUCAAUAGACGAAGUAUAGGGUCUGACGCCUGCCCGGUGCUGGAAGAUUAAGAGGAGGAGUGCAAGCUCUGAAUUGAAGUCCCAGUAAACGGCGGCCGUAACUAUGACGGUCUUAAGGUAGCGAAAUUCCUUGUCGGGUAAGUUCCGACCUGCAUGAAUGGCGUAACGACUUCCUCACUGUCUCCAGUAUCGACUCAGCGAAAUUGGAUUCUCCGUUAAGAUACGGAGUUCCCGCGGUUAGACGGAUAGACCCCGUGAACCUUUACUAUAGCUUUGUACUGAUAACAGACGGCAAGUAUCUAGGAUAGGUGGAAGACUAGGAAGUGCGAACGCCAGUUUGCAUGGAGUCGCCCUUGGAAUACCACCUACUUGUUUUUUGUUAUCUAACUGAGGACCUUGAAUC